rnacentral:rRNA from 1 species
GUGCCAGCAGCCGCGGUAAAACGUAGGACACGAGCGUUAUCCGGAGUUACUGGGCGUAAAGGGCGUGCAGGCGGUCACAUAAGUCUGAUGUGAAAGCGCCCGGCUUAACCGGGCGAGGACAUUGGAGACUGUGUAACUAGAGGCAGAUAGAGGGGUGUAGAAUUCCGGGUGUAGUGGUGAAAUGCGUAGAGAUCCGGAGGAAUACCAGAGGCGAAGGCGGCACCCUGGGUCUGACCUGACGCUGAGACGCGACAGCAUGGGGAGCGAACGGGAUUAGAAACCCCCGUAGUCC